rnacentral:rRNA from 1 species
AUUGAACGCUGGCGGCAUGCUUUACACAUGCAAGUCGAACGGUAACAGGCCUUCGGGUGCUGACGAGUGGCGAACGGGUGAGUAAUGCAUCGGAACGUGCCCAGAGGUGGGGGAUAACGCAGCGAAAGCUGUGCUAAUACCUCAUGUGAUCUGAGGAUGAAAGCGGGGGACCACGCAGCAAUGUUUGGCCUCGCGCCUCUGGAGCGGCCGAUGUCAGAUUAGGUAGUUGGUGGGGUAAAGGCCUACCAAGCCGACGAUCUGUAGCUGGUCUGAGAGGACGACCAGCCACACUGGGACUGAGAAACGGCCCAGACUCCUACGGGAGGCAGCAGUGGGGAAUUUUGGACAAUGGGCGCAAGCCUGAUCCAGCAAUGCCGCGUGCGGGAAGAAGGCCUUAGGGUUGUAAACCGCUUUUGUACGGAACGAAAAGGCUCUGGCUAAUACCUGGGGCUGAUGACGGUACCGUAAGAAUAAGCACCGGCUAACUACGUG